AGCAGCCGCGGUAAUUCCAGCUCCAAUAGCGUAUAUUAAAGUUGUUGCAGUUAAAAAGCUCGUAGUUGAAUUUCGGGGUCAGUAGGUUGGUCGUGCCACAGGCAUGUACUGGCUUCACUGAUUCCUCCUUCUUGAAGAACUGUGAUGCCAUUAAUUUGGUGUUGCAGAGAAACAGGACUGUUACUUUGAAAAAAUUAGAGUGUUUAAAGCAGGCUA
rnacentral:rRNA from 1 species